rnacentral:rRNA from 1 species
GUGUCAGCAGCCGCGGUAAUACAGAGGGUGCAAGCGUUGUUCGGAAUUACUGGGCGUAAAGGGCUCGUAGGCGGCCAACUAAGUCGGACGUGAAAUCCCCAGGCUCAACCUGGGAACUGCGUCCGAUACUGGAUGGCUUGAAUCCGGGAGAGGGAUGCAGAAUUCCAGGUGUAGCAGUGAAAUGCGUAGAUAUCUGGAGGAAUACCGGUGGCGAAGGCGGCAUCCUGGACAGGCAUUGACGCUGAGGAGCGAAAGCCAGGGGAGCAAACGGGAUUAGAAACCCCCGUAGUCC